UGGGGAAUUUUGGACAAUGGGCGAAAGCCUGAUCCAGCAAUGCCGCGUGUGUGAAGAAGGCCUUCGGGUUGUAAAGCACUUUUGUCCGGAAAGAAAUCCUUGGCUCUAAUACAGUCGGGGGAUGACGGUACCGGAAGAAUAAGCACCGGCUAACUACGUGCCAGCAGCCGCGGUAAUACGUAGGGUGCAAGCGUUAAUCGGAAUUACUGGGCGUAAAGCGUGCGCAGGCGGUUUGCUAAGACCGAUGUGAAAUCCCCGGGCUCAACCUGGGAACUGCAUUGGUGACUGGCAGGCUAGAGUAUGGCAGAGGGGGGUAGAAUUCCACGUGUAGCAGUGAAAUGCGUAGAGAUGUGGAGGAAUACCGAUGGCGAAGGCAGCCCCCUGGGCCAAUACUGACGCUCAUGCACGAAAGCGUGGGGAGCAAACAGGAUUAGAUACCCUGGUAGUCCACGCCCUAAACGAUGUCAACUAGUUGUUGGGGGAUUCAUUUCCUUAGUAACGUAGCUAACGCGUGAAGUUGACCGCCUGGGGAGUACGGUCGCAAGAUUAAAACUUAAAUGAAUUGAC
rnacentral:rRNA from 1 species